rnacentral:lncRNA from 1 species
UUGGACGAUGCAAAUUGCAAAGAACCAAUCAAUUUGAUUAGGUGAGAGGUUGGCAACUUUGCCUAUAAAUAGAGAUACUUCCCUCUCGGUUUAACACACCAAAACAAAGAGAAGUAGUAAAAGUUAGAAAGAGUAAUCCACAGAUUGUAAUCUGUGAGAUAAAUAGUGAAUGUCAGUAAUAUUGUAGUGAGGUAUUUUAAAUAAAGAGUAUUAUUUCUUUCAAAAUUGUAGUAGUCUCUUGACACUACUAAGUUGUAAUAUUAUAGUUGUAAUAUUGCUCUGCUCGGGUAUUGUAUUUACCUCGCUAAAAGAGUUGGUGUAUGUCGUUGUUACUCUCUUGUAUUAUUAUUAUUUUUCAUGGAUAUUAUUUUUGGGCUGGAUUAUUAUUUUUCCCAACAUUCACUUUAUUUUUCCUCCCUUUUCGAUGUAUUAUUUGAUUAAGUGCAAGUAUGCAACUCAUUCUUCGAAAGCUUGCAAGCUUAAAAGUCUGCCAAUCAGCUUUACCUGCCCUUAUCAAUACAUCCUCUAUCAAAGGUAUCACAUGCACAAGUAUCUGUGUGCAUGAUAUCAGCUUCAUAUGGAUUUCGUACCUAGAGUUAAUUAGCUUAGUUUAGUGCAGCUCAAUUUGCAUAUAGUUGCAUAGAUCAUAUCAUUUAUCAUGUAUGCAUUCUUUUUAGUAAAAGAUCUGUCACAGAGGCAUUUAAGAAUGGGUUUAAAAUGCUUAUGGGGUUUAAGGGGACUCACUCCCUUACUUUAUGUGUAGAUUUUGAGAUUCUGAAGCAGAUAUCGCAGUGGCCUGAGUCUUCGCUAUUCUUGAGAACAGCAGUGGUGAGCCUUUCACAUUAAUUAUCUGUGGAGGGCAUCUUGGGUUUAUGUCUUGUUCACUUUUAUUGGAUGCUAUCCCGUUUCAAUUAUACUUAGAUAUUUUGAUGCUCCAUAUAUUAUUUGGGUUAUGGGAUUCUUUUGGCUGGUAAUGUUGUUGUUAUUAUCUGAAUUGAUAUACUAUCUACCUCAAUCACAUCAGAUGCAUGUUAUAUGUUAUAUUGCUAUACUCGUUUGGAAAUGCUAUUUAAGGGUUUGUAUAAUGGGUAAUAGCUCAUUAACUGUUGGUCACAAUUCGACAAUGUCGAAUCACAACAAAAUAUUAAAGUUUCGAGAGUAAGAAAUAAAACAUACAUUCUCUGUCCAAAAAGGACGCAACCUCUAAUUUUUAGUGUAAACUUGAAUAUAUAAUUUUUUAAAUCUAUUUGAAGUACAAUUUACAAAUUAAAAAUGACAUAAUUCUUCCGUUUUAUUUUAUGUGACAUAUUUAUUAUUUGAAGAAUCAAAUGAAAUAAUUCUUUUUUGAUAAGAUUUUUACAAGUUUUUUAAAUUGUUUUUAACUUGCUAACUACUGUGACUUUGUUUACCCUUGAAACGGAUAAAAAUUAAAUUUAUACGCGAUUUUAAGGAUAUGUGAAUUGAUUCAAUACAAGUAAUUAAGGAAGUUAGAUCAACGAAUUAAGGACAAAAAUAAAUAACCAAACCAGUUGUGACGCUGAGCCGGGCUCGGAUUUAAGCUAAACGAUAGUUAUGCCCUCCGUCGAAUUCUCGGUUCGAAGCCAGAUAUGUAAGAAGAACUAUGAUUAAAAUAAGAACUUUUCAAUAGCUAGAAAGCAUAGAAAAUAGGUUUGUAUUUUUUUGAUAUACGUGUUACAAUGUGUCUAUUAAAUAAAAACUACCCCCUUUAUAUAGUAGGAGAAAUUCACCCCUAGUACAAUUCUAAGUAAGGUAAAAAAUCUUCUUUUUCGUUAAUCACUGAUCCGCUGUCGAUACGGGCCGAGAUCUGCGCCGUGAUAUCCGAUGGGGUGCUGAUAUCGUGGCCCUCUAUUUGUCGUGUGUUAACCGUUAUCGUAUUUUCCGAGGUCUUGGAGCUCGUUCUAGGAUCGGAGAAGUAAUGUCUUACCAAGCCCGGUGGCAACCACUCCGUUCGGACCUUAGUACGACGUGCUCCGGCUUUGAUUCGGACCCCAUAUAAUCAUGCCUUUGCUUUGUUUGACCCACCGAAAAAUGGGGGUGUAGGUUGCCCCCGGUUUUACUCAUAUACAGAUAGUCCCCUCCUUUUUCAGAGAGUAGGUUUAUCGAAAUGAUGGAAAACGAUAGAUGUUUCCCGAUUCCUUCAUUCGUACGUUACAACUGAAACAACAAAGAAGCCUAAACGUCCCAUCAGUCGUGUCGUUCUGACUGCGGACACAUGUCAACCAUCAGCCGGUCGCCCUCGAAUGCAAAACGUCGCAUACUUCCUGUAAGGACCCGUAAAAAUUUAAACCAAAAACUCUGGGUUUCGUACUUCCAAGAUAGAUUCCUGCAUUAUUAUAGUAGAAAUUCUUCGCGGCGAGCUACCUCGCUACGGUUCAAACUUUUUGGAUUGAACAGUACCCCAUAGACUUAGAGGAAAAUAUUUUGCAGAAGAACGUAUUUCUNNNNNNNNNNNNNNNNNNNNNNNNNGGCCAACUUGAGGUCAGUUUUGCAGUCGAUUAUGCGACCGCAUAAUCGAUAUACGGACCGCAUAUCGGUCGCAUAAUUACUCUUGGGUUUUUGCGGAGGGAGUUCUAUGGUGCAUUAUGCGACCGCAGAACGAGUAUGCGGACCGCAUACUGGUCGCAUACCUGAGCCGUAAGUUCAGGCCCCUGAGGGCCAUUUCUGCAGUCACUUUGCAGACCGCAUAACAGUUAUGCGGUCGCAUAUGCGACCGCAGACCUGUGUCGGGGCAUCCAUUUUCUUAAUUUAAAACCCGACCCCCAUUCCGUUAAAACAACCCUUCAACCUAUUUUGAGCUCAUUUUCUGAUACUAUAGAGUGAGAGAGGGAGUUUUAGAGUGAGAAAGUAAUCCUCAUCAAUUAUUCUUCAAUUCUUGCUUGAAACUUUGAAAAUUAUCAAGGAAAAUAAUCUAGGCCUCCAUCCUAGAGGUAAGAAUCUAUACCCUAGCAUAGAUGGGUGUGAGGGUUGUUUAUCUUGCAUGCAUAUGAUAAAGAGUGUGAGAAAAAUAAGAAGUGAACUAGAACCAUGAACGUUUUCGUAAUUUUGGGUUCAAUUUGUAUAUUGCUAAAAUAAAUUGAGGUUGCUAAGGGUUCCGGAUAAUUGUAGAAUCUAAAGAAGCGCAAUUGAGGUAUGUAUGGCUAACUCUUUUCUUCUUAGAAUCGAACUCGUGGUAUCCGAAUAAUUGGUGUAAGUUCUAACUUGAUCAUUCUAGAAUUGUUUGCCUUAGUGUGUUGAAUUGAAAGAUUCAUGUUCCCUAAUUGUUUUAGAUGGUUACCAUGUCAUCAUGCUAUUUGAGAACGAAAUCAUGAUUUUCCAAGCUCCUUUCCCUAUGUGUGAAAUGCAUUAUGUGAUGGUACUUAUCAAUAUGAGUAAUGAUGUUAUUUGAACGAAUACAAAAGGAAAGACUUGAAUUGUAAAAUAGUCCCAAGUGCCAAGAACUACUUAAUAAAUGAGGUUGUUUGUGCCAUGUAACGAAAGAUGGGAAAGAGAUGUGAAUUGAGUGAGCAAUUGAAAGAGGUUAUGUCUCAAGUGAGAUGGCUUAGCCGAUCGGGCCGAGAUCGGACGCCAUGCUGUACAUGUGAUGGCAUUUGUGUUAAAAUUAUUGAUUUACAUUGUGGAUAUAGAUAUGUCUCACUUGAGAUGGCUUAGCCGAGACCGGACUCCGUGUAAAAAUACAGUGGCAUUAUGAGUUGUGGAUUUGGCACUAAAGAUUAUUAACCUAAAAAGAUGGAAAGAUUGAAUUGGAAAUUAUGUGAUCCUUAAUUGGUGUUUCCUUGUAUUUCUGUAAAGUACUUAUUGAUUUUUAUCACUGCCUUCUCUUUGUUUCAUUGUUCAUUCUACUAAGAUUGGUGUUUGCCUUACAUAUUAGUACUAUUCGACAGUACUAACGUCCCUUUUACCGGGGGCGCUACAUCUUUGGAUGGAUGUAGGUGGUUCCGUCGCAGAUAAUGCCGAUCGCAGAUAGUGGUGCUCUCUUUCUCUCCUCACAGCAGUCUUGGUGAGCCCCAUUCCUCCGAGGGUUCAUGUAGUCCUUCUUUUGUAUAAGUUUUCAUAUUUUGAGGUAUAGCCGGGGCCUUGUUGCCGGCAUUGUCAUGUUGCUCAUUUGCACCCUUAGAGGCUCCGUAGAUGUUUAUGUAGGUCAUGUAUGUAUGUUGGGGUGGUCGUUGGAUCGAGUUGUAUUUUGGAAACUCAACUAUGGCAUAAUAUAUAUAAGGAAAAAAUGAACUAGCA